rnacentral:tRNA from 1 species
CCUUAUUAGGCUUCCCUACCACUCAGAAGGUAAAGCGUCCGCCUGCAAUGCGGAAGACCUGGGUUCGAUCCCUGGAUCAGGA